AAAGAUCCUUCCGUAGGGGAACCUGCGGAAGGAUCAUUA
rnacentral:rRNA from 1 species